CUCCCCCUCCGGGCGGGUCGGCGCCCGCCGGAGGAUAACCAGCAUCUGAUGUAACGACGUUUCUUCUGAGUGGUACAAGCAAAUAAUCAAAACUUUUAACAACGGAUCUCUUGGUUCUGGCAUCGAUGAAGAACGCAGCGAAAUGCGAUAAGUAAUGUGAAUUGCAGAAUUCAGUGAAUCAUCGAAUCUUUGAACGCACAUUGCGCCCGCCAGCAUUCUGGCGGGCAUGCCUGUUCGAGCGUCAUUUCAACCCUCAAGCUCUGCUUGGUGUUGGGGCCCUACAGCUGAUGUAGGCCCUCAAAGGUAGUGGCGGACCCUCCCGGAGCCUCCUUUGCGUAGUAACUUUACGUCUCGCACUGGGAUCCGGAGGGACUCUUGCCGUAAAACCCCCAAUUCUCCAAAGGUUGACCUCGGAUCAGGUAGGAAUACCCGCUGAACUUAAGCAUAUCAAUAAGCGGAGGAA
rnacentral:rRNA from 1 species